AUCUACGACCAUGCCACCCUGAACGUGCCCGAUCUUGUCUGAUCUCGGAAGCUAAGCAGGGCUGGGCCUGGUUAGUACUUGGACGGGAGACCCCCUAGGAAUAUCAGGUGCUGCAGGCA
rnacentral:rRNA from 1 species